rnacentral:tRNA from 1 species
CAGGGAGACAACAAAAUGUUUAAUAUUAUUAUUUUGUCACCUUAGGUCGAUCGGUAUCUCACGUUCUUAAUUUAUUAAGAAUUUCAUUUCCUAAGUUUUUCUAGGUCACACCCAUUAUUUUCCUGGGCCAUUAGCUCAGGUGGUUAGAGCGCACCCCUGAUAAGGGUGAGGUCCCUGGUUCAAGUCCAGGAUGGCCCAUAUCUCUAUGUUGGGGGUAUAGCUCAGUUGGUAGAGCGCCUGCUUUGCAAGCAGGAUGUCAGCGGUUCGAGUCCGCUUACCUCCACUGAUCACCACCUCUUCCAUAAUCGAUAGAAAGGAAAUGUUUUGAGUUGUGAUCUAAUUCUGAACGAAUCUAGCUUCCUAAUGAAAUUAUUAAGAUGCUGGACUCAUUGAAUUAAUUUCAUUGUUUUCAGAGAACCUUGACAACUGCAUAGAUUAUUUUUUAAAGACAAUAAGCAUCUUUAAUGAUGCAGAUUUAUUAUUUGUGCGAAUGCAUUAAUAACAAUUCUAUUGAGCUGAUGCUUCAAUUUUGAAGUUAUU